CCUACGUGUGGCAGCAGUGAGGAAUAUUGGUCCAUGGACGAGAGUCUGAACCAGCCAAGUAGCGUGAAGGAUGACUGCCCUAUGGGUUGUAAACUUCUUUUAUAUGGGAAUAAAACGUUCCACGUGUGGGAUUUUGUAUGUACCAUAUGAAUAAGGAUCGGCUAACUCCGUGCCAGCAGCCGCGGUAAUACGGAGGAUCCGAGAGUUAUCCGGAUUGAUUGGGUGUAAAUGGAGCGUAGGUGGAUCGUUAAGUGAGUUGUGAAAGGUUGCGGCUCAACCGUAAAAGUGCAGUUGAAACUGGCAGUCUUGAGUACAGUAGAGGUGGGCGGAAUUCGUGGUGUAGCGGUGAAAUGCUUAGAUAUCACGAAGAACUCCGAGUGCGAAGGCAGUUCACUGGACUGCAACUGACACUGAGGCUCGAAAGUGUGGGUAUCAAACAGGAUUAGAUACCCUAGUAGUC
rnacentral:rRNA from 1 species